AAUCCAGGUUUUGGGGGCCUUGGUACAGGCAGGCCGGGGAAUCCCCUUCUUUAUCCGACGCGGACGCCGCGUCACCGCAGUACGCCGCCGCUGAUCCACGGGCACGGCGUCACCCGUUUCGGGGACCUUGGUACAGGCAGGCCGGGGAAUCCCCUCUUUAUUCGACGCGAACGCCGCGUCAUGGCAGUCCGCCGCCGCUCAUCCAUGGGCACGGCGUUACCCGUUUCGGGGACCUUGGUACAGGCAGGCCGGGGAAUCCCCUUCUUUAUCUGGGACG
rnacentral:ncRNA from 1 species